AUUGAACGCUGGCGGCAUGCCUUACACAUGCAAGUCGAACGGCAGCACGGGGAAACCUGGUGGCGAGUGGCGAACGGGUGAGUAAUGCAUCGGAACGUACCUUUCAGUGGGGGAUAACGUAGCGAAAGUUACGCUAAUACCGCAUAUUCUGUGAGCAGGAAAGCAGGGGAUCGCAAGACCUUGCGCUGAUUGAGCGGCCGAUGUCAGAUUAGCUAGUUGGUGAGGUAAAGGCUCACCAAGGCGACGAUCUGUAGCGGGUCUGAGAGGAUGAUCCGCCACACUGGAACUGAGACACGGUCCAGACUCCUACGGGAGGCAGCAGUGGGGAAUUUUGGACAAUGGGGGCAACCCUGAUCCAGCCAUGCCGCGUGAGUGAAGAAGGCCUUCGGGUUAUAAAGCUCUUUCGGCCGGGAAGAAAUCGCACGGGCUAAUACCCUGUGUGGAUGACGGUACCGGAAUAAGAAGCACCGGCUAACUACGUGCCAGCCGCCGCCGUAAUAC
rnacentral:rRNA from 1 species